rnacentral:lncRNA from 10 species
AGCAGCAGUUGGAAAUGAUGUAGAAUCUGGGGAGAGACCUUUUAAAGAAAGGUGAUAUCAAGGCUUGUUUGUGGACUGAGAAUGAUGUGUGAUCUUGGAAGUCAGCUUGAGAAUGGAGCAGUCAAGACACAAAUUGGUUGGCAGGUCAUGAUCAGCAUGAGAGGAAUCUCUAUCCUGCUUCCAGGCUAUCCUUGGCACUGUGAUUUUUAAUAAAAUAAUGCACUGACUUUGCAUUCAAAGAAAUUACUGGACAGUCAAAAUAUACACACAUAUGCAAAAAUUGAGGAGCAAUUUCCCAUAAGAUACAAACCUUGGAAAUCAAGAAAGUUCUGGAAUGAUGAAGCUGUUCAUGCCAAGACCGAAAGUGCUGGCCCAGUAUGAGUCCAUUCAGUUCAUGCCGUGACAAUUUUCUUGGAACUCCUUUUUAUUGCUUGUGCUCCUGGUACAUCAGCCCAUUUCAUGGUACGUUGAAGCAUGCCUCCCUGUGGGAUUGCUGGAUUCCCAGCCCAGUGAGGUAAUGACCAAGCAGCGUCUUCAGAGGAAGGAUAGCUGUACAGCGUGGUGAAGGACUCAAUGAGAAGGUGCAUUGCCCAUCCUUCAGAGAGCUCUGUGUGAAUCCAUAAAAGGUGCUUAAAGCUUUUCACUCCAUGAAGCCUCAUCUGUCUCAUGAAAGCAAUAAAUGCCUGGAGGUUCAUCCAUCAAGUGAGGGGCCUUAACCAUGUUUCCAACAACAGCCUUUCCGGCCCCAUCUUCCUAUGAAGGAGAA